rnacentral:tRNA from 1 species
ACUCUAAUAGUUUAUAAAAACAUUGGUCUUGU